rnacentral:rRNA from 1 species
AGAGUUUGAUCAUGGCUCAGGAUGAACGCUGGCGGCGUGCUUAACACAUGCAAGUCGAACGUGAGAGGUAGCAAUAUCUUGAAAGUGGCGCACGGGUGAGUAACACGUAGGUAACCUGCCUCGGAGUGGGGGAUAACAGUUAGAAAUGACUGCUAAUACCGCAUGAAUCCAUUAAGAUGGGAAUGUUGAUGGAGAAAACUCUGGUGCUUCGAGAGGGGCCUGCGGUCGAUUAGCUAGUUGGCGGGGUAACGGCCCACCAAGGCGACGAUCGAUAGCUGGUCUGAGAGGACGAUCAGCCACACGGGAACUGAGACACGGUCCCGACUCCUACGGGGGGCAGCAGUGAGGAAUAUUGGGCAAUGGGCGGAAGCCUGACCCAGCAACGCCGCGUGGAGGAAUGAAGGCCUUCGGGUUGUAAACUCCUUUUGCAGGGGAAGAGGAAGGACGGUACCCUGCGAAUAAGUCACGGCUAACUACGUG